rnacentral:rRNA from 1 species
GACAGAGGUGCCGAGCGUUAGGCGGAAUCACUGGGCUUAAAGCGUGUGUAGGCGGACUUCUAAGUACCUUGUGAAAUCCCACGGCUCAACCGUGGAACUGCUCGGUAUACUGGUUGUCUUGAGCCACUUAGGGGCAGUCGGAACAGACGGUGGAGCGGUGAAAUGCGUAGAUAUCAGGAGGAACACCAAUGGCGAAGGCAGCUCGCUGGGACGGUACUGACGCUGGAGGCGCGAAAGCGUGGGGAGCAAACAGG